ACCUUUUAGAAUAUUCUAUAAGUAUGUAUUUAGUAGAUUUUGGAUCUAGAAGCUUCAGUAUAAUAUAGGCUUCAAAUCUACAAAACAUUAAGUAAGAUAUGUAUGGAGCGUUUCCAUACGAAAUAUUGCAGAGUGUUUUAUCCACUUAUUAGUUGGUAUUUGUAUUCAAGAUACAAGUCAUAGUUGUUGGAUAAGGUGUCUAAGUCCAUAACUAUAAUUGAUAUGUACUUGACCCGAGAGUAGCAUGGUCCAUUUUGAGAAAGAUGUUAUUUAUGAUUUAUUAAUAUAUUACAAGUAUAAUAUAUUAAUAUAAAAUCAUGUUAUUUAAUUUGUAUUGUUCAAGAAUUAAAACUACUAGAAAACAGCCCUUUAAUGACGCGCAAACAAUGACGCGCGCUGAUAGAGGACGCGCAUUCGUGCGUGCCCUGAAAAAUAAUGUCCGUUCUGGAAAAUUUGAAGGAUAGAGGGCACGCAUUUUUUUGUGCCCUAAAAUUAGUGUCCAACAAAAAAAAUUAAAAACACGGAGGGCACCUAUCCUAAAAAGCGCAUCGUGUUACCCUGUCGCUUUAUAUUUUAGUCUCUGAGCGCACGUUUUCAUUUUUUGGGGGGAAUGAAAUCCAAAAAAUUAAAAACCCCGCUUGCGUCUCCUCUUUCAACAGGAACACUCAUCAGACUCACCACCAUCUCUCUUUCUCUCUAUCUCUAUCUCUCUCUACCUAUCUCUAUCUCUCUCUCUCUCUCUCUCUCUCUCUCUCUCUCUCCUUCAAAAAAUUGAAAACCCCGCUUGCGUCUCCUCCUUCAAUGGGAACGCCAUGGUCGUCGCAGCUACAUCUCACCACCUGUAACCUCAACACAAUCGACCAUCACCACCAUUCCUACCAUCCAUCGCCACCCUACCAUCUUCUCCAUCACCACCUCUUUCUUGUUCUAUAUGAAACCCUAAAAUCAGUUUCAUACUCGCCUUCGCCACCCCUCUUCUACCCCCAAAAUUAUGGCGAUACUAAUUACGGUGAAACAAGCUUCUCGGUUUCAUACUUGCCUUGAUGCUACUCGCUUGGUUUCAGUUUCAGGUCUGACCCGUUGUCCUUUGUCAACUCCGAUCAAAACCAACCGCCCAUCCACCCUUGAUGUCACCUCCUCUGCCGGUCACCAUGAAUCAGCAUAAGAAGAUAGCUGACAAGAAGAUAAACACAAACAAUAGAGUGGGAGAAAAAGAAAGAGAAACUUGGAAUUUGACUUUAGGUAACCAUUAUUUUGUCGUUCCCUUAAUUUUUUUUUUCUAAAACGAUUUGUUGUUCAACUAUGGAAUAUUGAGAAAUUUGAUGUUUUUUCUCCAUCUUCAAUUACUAUGUCUUUCUUAAUGAUACCUUAAUUUGUUUGAAUGAGGGUUCGACAUGAUCAAUUACUCAAACCAUUAUAGGGUUCGACAUGUAUACCACCGUUGAUUUGCGAUUUGCAACUAACUAGUCUUCAUUAGCGAUUUGCAGGAACUAAAUGAGAGGCAUUUGUACCCCCUUCUUAUUCACAAUGUAGUUUAGUACAGAAGAAUAUGUUCAUUACCAACCUGAUGCAUUGAUGUUCAAUGAUCAACCACGUCCAGAUUACGGUGUCGAAGUCAUGUACAGGUUUGUUGGAUUUGAUGCUUUUGAAAGAUCUCUGUAUUUCAGUCCUUCUUUUGAUUU